AGUGAACGCUGGCGGUAGGCCUAACACAUGCAAGUCGAACGGCAGCACAGUAAGAGCUUGCUCUUACGGGUGGCGAGUGGCGGACGGGUGAGGAAUACAUCGGAAUCUACUUUUUCGUGGGGGAUAACGUAGGGAAACUUACGCUAAUACCGCAUACGACCUACGGGUGAAAGCAGGGGAUCUUCGGACCUUGCGCGAUUGAAUGAGCCGAUGUCGGAUUAGCUAGUUGGCGGGGUAAAGGCCCACCAAGGCGACGAUCCGUAGCUGGUCUGAGAGGAUGAUCAGCCACACUGGAACUGAGACACGGUCCAGACGCCUACGGGAGGCAGCAGUGGGGAAUAUUGGACAAGGGGCGCAAGCCUGAUCCAGCAUACCGCGUGGGUGAAGAAGGCCUUCGGGUUGUAAAGCCCUUUUGUUGGGAAAGAAAAGCAGCAGGUUAAUACCCCGCUGUUCUGACGGUACCCAAAGAAUAAGCACCGGCUAACUUCGUG
rnacentral:rRNA from 1 species